GAUGAAGAACGCAGCGAAAUGCGAUAAGUAAUGUGAAUUGCAGAAUUCAGUGAAUCAUCGAAUCUUUGAACGCACCUUGCACCCUUUGGCAUUCCGAAGGGUAUGCUCGUUUGAGUGUCAUUGUACUCUCACACUUCUGAUCCUUUGGAUUGGGAGCGGUGGACUUGGGUGUUGCUGCUUUACUGUGGCUCACCUCAAUGCAUUCGUGCAACUCUUGGUUGGACAUAGUACGGCGUGAUAAGUAUCUUCGCCGGCACCUCGCAAGAGGGUGGCUGAUCAGGAGCUCUGUGCUUUCCAACUGUCUUCAGACAACAACUGACAACUUGACCUCAAAUCGAGUAGGACCACCCGCUGAACUUAAGCAUAUCAAUAAGCGGAGGA
rnacentral:misc_RNA from 1 species